UACGUAGGGUGCAAGCGUUGUCCGGAAUUAUUGGGCGUAAAGAGCUCGUAGGCGGCCUGUCGCGUCGGCUGUGAAAACCCGAGGCUCAACCUCGGGCCUGCAGUCGAUACGGGCAGGCUAGAGUUCGGUAGGGGAGACUGGAAUUCCUGGUGUAGCGGUGAAAUGCGCAGAUAUCAGGAGGAACACCGAUGGCGAAGGCAGGUCUCUGGGCCGAUACUGACGCUGAGGAGCGAAAGCGUGGGGAGCGAACAGG
rnacentral:rRNA from 1 species